GUGCUUGCUUCAGCAGCACAUAUACUAAAAUUGGAACUUUACAAAGGUGAUUAGCAUGUCCCUUGAACAAGGAUGA
rnacentral:snRNA from 1 species